rnacentral:rRNA from 1 species
AAAUUGAAGAGUUUGAUCAUGGCUCAGAUUGAACGCUGGCGGCAGGCCUAACACAUGCAAGUCGAACGGUAACAGGAAGCAGCUUGCUGCUUCGCUGACGAGUGGCGGACGGGUGAGUAAUGUCUGGGAAACUGCCUGAUGGAGGGGGAUAACUACUGGAAACGGUGGCUAAUACCGCAUAACGUCGCAAGACCAAAGAGGGGGACCUUCGGGCCUCUUGCCAUCAGAUGUGCCCAGAUGGGAUUAGCUUGUUGGUGAGGUAACGGCUCACCAAGGCGACGAUCCCUAGCUGGUCUGAGAGGAUGACCAGCCACACUGGAACUGAGACACGGUCCAGACUCCUACGGGAGGCAGCAGUGGGGAAUAUUGCACAAUGGGCGCAAGCCUGAUGCAGCCAUGCCGCGUGUAUGAAGAAGGCCUUCGGGUUGUAAAGUACUUUCAGCGGGGAGGAAGGUGUUGUGGUUAAUAACCACAGCAAUUGACGUUACCCGCAGAAGAAGCACCGGCUAACUCCGUGCCAGCAGCCGCGGUAAUACGGAGGGUGCAAGCGUUAAUCGGAAUUACUGGGCGUAAAGCGCACGCAGGCGGUCUGUCAAGUCGGAUGUGAAAUCCCCGGGCUCAACCUGGGAACUGCAUUCGAAACUGGCAGGCUUGAGUCUUGUAGAGGGGGGUAGAAUUCCAGGUGUAGCGGUGAAAUGCGUAGAGAUCUGGAGGAAUACCGGUGGCGAAGGCGGCCCCCUGGACAAAGACUGACGCUCAGGUGCGAAAGCGUGGGGAGCAAACAGGAUUAGAUACCCUGGUAGUCCACGCCGUAAACGAUGUCUACUUGGAGGUUGUGCCCUUGAGGCGUGGCUUCCGGAGCUAACGCGUUAAGUAGACCGCCUGGGGAGUACGGCCGCAAGGUUAAAACUCAAAUGAAUUGACGGGGGCCCGCACAAGCGGUGGAGCAUGUGGUUUAAUUCGAUGCAACGCGAAGAACCUUACCUGGUCUUGACAUCCACAGAACUUUCCAGAGAUGGACUGGUGCCUUCGGGAACUGUGAGACAGGUGCUGCAUGGCUGUCGUCAGCUCGUGUUGUGAAAUGUUGGGUUAAGUCCCGCAACGAGCGCAACCCUUAUCCUUUGUUGCCAGCGGUUAGGCCGGGAACUCAAAGGAGACUGCCAGUGAUAAACUGGAGGAAGGUGGGGAUGACGUCAAGUCAUCAUGGCCCUUACGACCAGGGCUACACACGUGCUACAAUGGCGCAUACAAAGAGAAGCGACCUCGCGAGAGCAAGCGGACCUCAUAAAGUGCGUCGUAGUCCGGAUUGGAGUCUGCAACUCGACUCCAUGAAGUCGGAAUCGCUAGUAAUCGUGGAUCAGAAUGCCACGGUGAAUACGUUCCCGGGCCUUGUACACACCGCCCGUCACACCAUGGGAGUGGGUUGCAAAAGAAGUAGGUAGCUUAACCUUCGGGAGGGCGCUUACCACUUUGUGAUUCAUGACUGGGGUGAAGUCGUAACAAGGUAACCGUAGGGGAACCUGCGGUUGGAUCACCUCCUUACCUUAAAGAA